UACGUAGGGGGGCUAGCGUUGUCCGGAAUCAUUGGGCGUAAAGAGCGUGUAGGCGGUCCGGUAAGUCCGCUGUGAAAGUCCGGGGCUCAACCCCGGGAGGCGGAUGGAUACUGCAAGGCUUGAGUCCGGAAGAGGCGAGUGGAAUUCCCGGUGUAGCGGUGAAAUGCGCAGAUAUCGGGAGGAACACCAAUGGCGAAGGCAGCUCGCUGGGACGGUACUGACGCUGAGGCGCGAAAGCGUGGGGAGCAAACAGG
rnacentral:rRNA from 1 species